rnacentral:rRNA from 1 species
UACGUAGGGCGCAAGCGUUAUCCGGAAUUAUUGGGCGUAAAGGGCGCGUAGGCGGUUUCGCAUGUCCGAUGUGAAAGCCCACCUCUUAAAGGUGGAAUUGCAUCGGAAACUGCGAGACUAGAGUGCCGGAGAGGGUGGUGGAAUUCCUGGUGUAGAGGUGAAAUUCGUAGAUAUCAGGAGGAACACCGGUGGCGAAGGCGGCCACCUGGACGGUUACUGACGCUGAGGCGCGAAAGCUAGGGGAGCAAACGGG